rnacentral:rRNA from 1 species
GUCCAGACUCCUACGGGAGGCAGCAGUGAGGAAUAUUGGUCAAUGGGCGGAAGCCUGAACCAGCCAAGUCGCGUGAGGGAAUAAGGCCCUACGGGUCGUAAACCUCUUUUGCCGGGGAGCAAGGGCGGGGACGUGUCCCGGCCCGGAGAGUACCCGGAGAAAAAGCAUCGGCUAACUCCGUGCCAGCAGCCGCGGUAAUACGGAGGAUGCGAGCGUUAUCCGGAUUUAUUGGGUUUAAAGGGUGCGUAGGCGGGCUUUUAAGUCAGCGGUAAAAAUUCGGGGCUCAACCCCGUCCGGCCGUUGAAACUGGCGUGCUCGAGUUGGAGAGAAGUAUGCGGAAUUCGUGGUGUAGCGGUGAAAUGCAUAGAUAUCACGCAGAACUCCGAUUGCGAAGGCAGCAUACCGGCGCCCAACUGACGCUGAAGCACGAAAGCGUGGGUAUCGAACAGGAUUAGAUACCCCAGUAUC